GUCAACCGGCUUUUACUAACUACUAUCUUCUUGAGGUUGGGCCGACCUUUACUUAUUAACCUAACUUAUUAACUUUAACGUCACUAAUAGGCCAUUAAGCCACUUCUGAAUACCGCCUACGGCAAUAUUUUAGAAGGUGUGUAUGAGCGCCAAUUAUCAUUGAGAUACCUUAAAAUCUGCGCAUAUUGAUCAUACUUUCUAUUGUCUCUUGAUAUAGAUUCUAAUAGCCUUGGUUCUACCACUUUCAGUAUAAUUAAGUUCCUGUCUUACCGUGGAUGCAACAGCUGCCUACCGUCUUAUUGUGACUGGCUCCUCGUCCUAUUUAGAUACUAUCCAGUUCCUGUUAUCAGUUAGGUUUCGAGCACUAAAUGUGGACUCCGCCUCCGAGAUUCUCUUGUGCUCUCGGAGAUCUGCAUUGGACCCAAUAAAAGUUAUUAGAGCAGU
rnacentral:lncRNA from 1 species